rnacentral:lncRNA from 1 species
CGGGACGGGUGUCUCAGAAGUCACUGAGGCAUGGGUAGGUCUAACCUUGGGACAUUGCUGUGGGGAGGGCUGUGGAGACCAAGCACAUUCCUGAGGCUCUGCCAGGGCAGCGGGGGUGGACAGUGUCCCCUGAGGACCCAGGACCAAGCCAGGCUCGCUACAGGGGUCCUGGAAUAGAGGACAGAGGCCAGGAGCGCUGUGGGUGCUGGGCAGGGGUGGGGAGUUUGCUGGGGAGCUGCGCCUUACAGACCUGUGUUUGUUUCCCAGCCUCAGCGAGGCCGGGCUGGACGGGGCCCUGGUGCUGGUUUUCAGUGCCUCAGCGAGGCCGGGACCAGAGCUGCUAUUUCCAGAUGAGGCUGGCUCGCAUCUGCUCUGGCCGGGGCUCCAGGCCUGAGCCCUGCAACACGGCGUUCCCUUUCCAAGUCUGCAAAGCCUGUCUUAGGGGAGAGAAGAAGUUUCCUUCCAUGCGGGUGGGGACGGCUAACCAUGUCCAGACACUGAGACCGGUGCUCUGUGUGCUCAGCCUUCAGCCUGCACUGGCUUGGUGGCUUGGUGACCCGCCAGCAGGGUGGUGCUGUCUGUGGGCUCUGCUCAAGCUCCUCUCAGAGCCAGGAGGAUGCCCGCCUGCUUGGGCCUGGCUCCCAGGAUGUGCUUGGCAAAUGCUUCUGGGAUGGAUGGAUGGAUGGGGUGCUGCACGUGGGACUUAGCCUUGGACACUAACUCCUUUGCCCCUCGUAUCUGGGAGGGAACAACACAGUUGCUAUGCCUGACUAGGGCAUGACCUGGGAGGCCUUUGGGGCCACACAGCCUCCUUGGGAAAGGAGGAUCAGGUGGGCCUCACACCCAGGAAUUGGAAGUGGGAGAGACAACAGCUGCUGGGUAGUGGGGGUAGAGCUGUGUCUCUCACUGCCCUGCCCCUCCAAGGACCAAGAAGAAAGGAAUGAGCCCCGAUCCGCCUGCCAGGUACCCACCCAUGAGAACCCCUUCUCUGCCAGCAUCUGAUAAAAUUACCUGCGUAGCUUUAGAGAUCACUGCUGCCUGACCAGCAGCCGCUCUGCUGGAAUCUGUCCAGAAAGCCCCUUGGGGCUCAGAAAAGUAGGUGGGUUAAUAAUAGAAGUAGAUGUGGGUUUUUUUGUUUGUGUGUUUAUUGAGACGGAGUCUUGCUCUGUGGCCCAGGCUGGAGUGCAGUGGCGUGAU